rnacentral:rRNA from 1 species
GACGAACGCUGGCGGCGUGCUUAACACAUGCAAGUCGAACGAUGAUGCUGGAGCUUGCUCCAGUUGAUUAGUGGCGAACGGGUGAGUAACACGUGAGCAACCUGCCCUUGACUCUGGGAUAACUGCGGGAAACUGUAGCUAAUACCGGAUACUUUCACCGGAAGGCAUCUUCUGGUGAUGAAAGAAUUUCGGUCAGGGAUGAGCUCGCGGCCUAUCAGCUUGUUGGUGAGGUAACGGCUCACCAAGGCGACGACGGGUAGCCGGCCUGAGAGGGUGACCGGCCACACUGGGACUGAGACACGGCCCAGACUCCUACGGGAGGCAGCAGUGGGGAAUAUUGCACAAUGGGCGCAAGCCUGAUGCAGCAACGCCGCGUGAGGGAUGACGGCCUUCGGGUUGUAAACCUCUUUUAGCAGGGAAGAAGCGAAAGUGACGGUACCUGCAGAAAAAGCACCGGCUAACUACGUGCCAGCCGCCGCGGUAA